AGUCAUAAUUGCUAUUCCCACUUAAUAGUGAUUGUGAUGAGCGGUGCGGGCGUGCUUCAACACGCUCGCAUCGCGCU
rnacentral:antisense_RNA from 1 species